AUUGAACGCUGGCGGCAGGCCUAACACAUGCAAGUCGAGCGCACGGCGGACGGGUGAGUAAUGUAUGGGGACUGCCCGAUAGCGGGGGAUAACUACUGGAAACGGUAGCUAAUACCGCAUACUAUCGGAUAACCCAUAUGGGAUUAGCUAGUAGGUGAUGUAAUGGCUCACCUAGGCGACGAUCCCUAGCUGGUCUGCAAGGAUGAACAGCCCCACUGGAACUGAGACACGGCCCAGACUCCUACGGAGGCAGCAGGGGGGAAUAUUGCACAAUGUGCGCAAGCCUGAGGCAGCCAUGCCGCGUGUAUGAAGAAGGCCCUAGGGUUGUAAAGUACUUUCAGUCGGGAGGCGUUACCGACAGAAGAAGCACCGGCUAACUCCGUGCCAGCAGCCGCGGUAAUUC
rnacentral:rRNA from 1 species